AAAACCUCUAACCUAUGAGCUUUGAAUGAGAUAAUUCUGUCUCCCAUGUGGCAUGGCCAGCCCUGUGUCUAUUAAACUCAUUCUCUACUAAAAUGCUGUGGUCUUUAUGCAGUGGGCAGGAAGAACCCCUUGGGUGGUUGCAAUCAUAUUGAGGCAACGCUCUCCUUUAUCACUAUGAAAACCAUUAUAAUUUUCUUGACUCUCCUUGACAUGAGUUUUUUUUCACAUUCCUCCCCCAAGUAUUGUUUUCAUCCUUGUCAGGAUCUUUGGAGGGCAGAUGUAAUUACUGACCUUUGAGUUCCCUCUAAACUUAAGAUUCCAGUUUUCUGCCAUAGGGAGUGGGAAUGUGCAUUAUAAAUUUUAAACAUUAUUACAGAAACUUGAAAUGUUAUUGCACAUUUUAAUGCUUCUCACACGACUUAGUUAAACAUAGUCUGCUUUCUUUCAUCAGUGAAAAAUAUACCCCUCCACUCUUCAGACUACUAUGGAUGGAUAUACCAGAGAGUAUGAAAUCUAAUCAUAAUAUUUUAAUGCUCUGUAGGAGAAAUAUACAUAAAUGUGAGGAUAACUGGAUGAAAAAUAAAAGUUCAUACAGCAAGACCAAACUGAGAUCAACUCUGACAAAUUCCUGCAGUCCUCUUUCCACACAGAUGCAGAAGCCUUAAAUAUUUUGGUGGGAUUCAUUCCUGAUUUGCCACAGGAGAUGAAGGUCCGUCUACUCAUCACAGUACUAUGGAUUGUUAACAAGUGUUAACCGACACAAUCUGUAGCUGAUGAGUUCACAGGUCAGUUUAUUUUUAUUUUACCUGUAUUUUCUGUAAUGAUCAAGAAUUCCUUUAUAUAGGCAAACAAUAUUAAAAAUUACAAAUAUUUUACAAGGCAUAAAAACAGUAGGGGAGGAGAAAAGGAAGGAAUAUAGAAAAGAAAAACUCAAAUGUAAAAUGACCAAAGUGUAGAAGAACUUAGGAGCAAUGAAAAAUAUGGGAUGUGGGGAGGGAAUGUAGGAAGGCUGAAUAAGAGCUGAGGGAGAAAGUUUCUUGUGGGUAGGUGGAAAAAUGGUGAGCUGAACUGGGAACAUUGACUGAAGAGCUGGGUGAUACUUUAGGGAAAUAAAAGGAUGGUGAAGACAUAUAGAAAGAAGUCUGAUAACACAGAAGGAAUUCAGGAUCCCAUUAGACAAAUUUAACAAAGGGAUUGCAAUAAUUAAA
rnacentral:lncRNA from 1 species